CAGCAGCCGCGGGAACACGUAGGUGGCAAGCGUUGUCCGGAAUUAUUGGGCGUAAAGGGCUCGCAGCCGGUUUCUUAAGUCUGAUGUGAAAGCCCCCGGCUCAACCGGGGAGGGUCAUUGGAAACUGGGAAACUUGAGUGCAGAAGAGGAGAGUGGAAUUCCACGUGUAGCGGUGAAAUGCGUAGAGAUGUGGAGGAACACCAGUGGCGAAGGCGACUCUCUGGUCUGUAACUGACGCUGAGGAGCGAAAGCGUGGGGAGCGAACAGGAUUAGAUACCCGCGUAGUCCCUGUCUCUUAUAC
rnacentral:rRNA from 1 species